rnacentral:tRNA from 1 species
UCUUCAGUAGCUCAGUCGGUUAGAGCACCUGACUGUUAAUCAGGGGGUCGUAGGUUCAAGUCCUACCUGAAGAGCCC